CCAGGGGUUCUUUUUAGAAAUCAUGCUGGAAUUUCUACAUGUACAAUAUAUAUUUGCUUUGAUUGAUCCAGUAACUUCUGCUGGAGUUCCUUUACAACAUUUUCUUUUAAUUUCUAUAAAAGAACCUUUUCAGAUAUUUUCCUAAUAAUGGUUCAUUGUCACAAUAGAUCUAAAAACAGGUCGCAGUGACUUAUAUACCCAACAAGGAAUAAAAAAAAAAUGGUUCAUGCAUUCUUCCUAUGAUACCCCAAAAAAAUGCGUCAGGAACUCCUACUGGAAUUUCUCCAGAAAUUCUUGCUGAUGUUCCUGCAGGACUCUAUUCAGUAAUUUCUACAGGAACACCUCUAUUGAUGCAUUCAGAGAUUUCAGUAGAUAUUUCUGCAAUAAUUCCUACAUGAAUUAUUCCGUGCAUUCAUCCACGAAUAAAUCUACGGAUGGCACAAAUUUCCCAAAUGGAUGAUAACGGGGGCUCCUGGGGCAAGAGGACCUACUGAUAAAUAAUUCUAGCGAUUUUCCUAAGGAUUUUUUCAAGAAUUCAUUUUAGAAUUUCUUCAGGGAUUUUUCUAGGAAUUUCUUAAAAUAUAAAUCUAUUAAUGUCUUCAGUUAUUACUCAUAAAGGAAUUACUCUAGAAUUCCUCUAUUAGAUUUCCCAAUUGGGCAUCGUCUAUGAAUUUACAUGGGGUUCCUCUUGGAUUUUUUUCAGGGUUACCUCUUGGUAUUCCUAUACGAAAAACUACAUGCAGAAAAAUCUUUUUCGCGUUGUUCAUUAUAGCCACAACUGCUCUUGAAAAUUGAUCAAUAAUUGUGAAUCACUUUCUACGUUAUGGACGCUUGACGCUUUCCGAUAUUGCCCAAACAUGAUCGAUCAUAAAUUAUCGGUUAGCGUGAUUUUCCUCAUGGUUGGAGGUGCCAACCAGGUAUGGCAAAAAUACUUUUUUCUCUUUUCCGUUCAUCGAUACCGACAGUAAAAUAAAAACAAAACAACGGCAGCACCAAUACCAUCAGCAGCCGCGCCGUCGGCAGUCAAGCUGGCGCUUGAUAGUUUUCGCUUCCCCACAAAAAUAUUUAUGAGCAGUCAUGCCGAGGCGGGUGAUUGCGAAAAAUGUUAAAUAUUUUCAACUGCUAAUAACUCAUUCAUUUGUUUUAGUGAAUAAUUUGAAUCUGUUUGCACAAAUAGCUAGAGCACACUCCUAGCUUUGUGAUGCAUAUAAAGAAGUUUGUCUAGAAGCGGUUUGCAACGCAGAAAAAUGCGAAAAUGGGAGAGACAGAAAUUUUUGUCGUCGUUGUGCUCGAGUACCGGCGCUCUCGCGCUUGGAAACCAUUUCGAUGAAGAAGGCUGCUGGAAAAAAAAAUGUUAUGACAUUUAUUUUUCGAACAGUUUGAGUUUGGCUGGGCCUAUUUUUCGUGUAGAAAAAUGUCAAAUGUACAGCCGGUAACCGUUUUUUCCAGUACAUUUCUCAUCCCUGGUGCCAACAACGCUCAAAAUUUGGCAGAUGGCACUUACAAAGUUGCAAUCUUUUUCACAUACACUAGUAUGUCAGCUGCCUGCCAUUUAGACGUGAACAUUUUUUGGAUCUAGAAUAUUUUUUUAGAAUUAAAAAUAAAAAAGUAUUUCAAACAAAAAAAAUAUUUUUUUUUAUUUACAAUUUUUGUCUCGUUCAGCUGUCGUAUUGAAAACAACAAAUUUUAUAGUUGAAUGAACAAAAUAAAAUUGUAGAAUUCAAAGUCUGUUUAUAACAAUAAUGAGCUUCAAAAAUAUUUUUUUUUGAUUCAAUAAGAUGAAAUUUCUCUGCGUGUAUUGCUUCUGAAUUCUCCUGAGAUUCAUGCUGAAAUUUAUCAACCCAUUUCAUACCAAUAUUGUUGUGAUUCCUCCUGGAACUGCUCCAGAUAUUUCCCCAGUACUUUUUUCGGGAUUUCCUCUAUACAGGGUGUUAGGCUCCUGAGUGCAUACUUUUUAAAGGGUGAUAGAGGACCAUAAAUGGUGAAAAAAUUGUUUUUUUUUUUUUGAAGGUUCCUAGCGGCACGCCGACGGACGUAGAAACCUCUCCCAUCAUUGUGCGCACAAGCGUCUCGCGAUUGCGCGGACAACGACAGUUCACUAGGCCUUUGGAUAGGAUAGAGAACGUGAUCCUUCAGAAGCAGUUCACCAGCCGUGCACGAAACAUGUCGUCCACACUGCGAACUCUGCAUUACCCUUUAAAGUGCAAAACGUACCCAUUUUUUGCAGAUGUAUGGAGCUGUCAAAAAACAGGGUAAUUUUAAAUUUUGCGAAAAGAGUAAAUUUUGCCCUGUUUGAUGAAUGGAGCUCUUACCCAUUUGUGGGUGAAAAACAUCUUGAACUUUUUCUCUGUCCUCCUUUCGGUAAAGCAGCAGGAACAGAUCUUAAAUUAGAUUUUCGUCAAAGUUAGAAAACUGAAGUUGCAGAAAUGAUGGUUUUAUUUGAAACGCCGAUAUCCUUCCAGAAUUUGGGAUCUAGCUUGGGAUGCCAAAAGAUUCCCCCACCAUACGAAAGAUCCUCCGGAACAUCUCGACAAGCGAAUGCAGCACAAUUACUUUCCGGGGACAAUUACUGCAGUAUAGUUCAAAAGCGAAGUAAGGAUUGGUGCAAGAUCGGCCUCACAAUGAAGCACUUUAAAACAAUGUUUUCGCAUUACAAGUAGUGUUAAAGUGUAGUCAUUUAUGAUCAUUUCCUAUUGUAUUUGGAUAAAAUAAAGUAUUCUCGUACGUA